GGCGAACGGGUGAGUAACACGUGGGCAACCUGCCCUCAGCUCUGGGAUAACUCCAAGAAAUUGGGGCUAAUACCGGAUAUGACUGCUGACCGCAUGGUCUGGUGGUGGAAAGAUUUAUCGGCUGGGGAUGGGCCCGCGGCCUAUCAGCUUGUUGGUGGGGUAGUGGCCUACCAAGGCGACGACGGGUAGCCGGCCUGAGAGGGUGACCGGCCACACUGGGACUGAGACACGGCCCAGACUCCUACGGGAGGCAGCAGUGGGGAAUAUUGCGCAAUGGGCGAAAGCCUGACGCAGCGACGCCGCGUGGGGGAUGACGGCCUUCGGGUUGUAAACCUCUUUCAGCAGGGACGAAGCGGAAGUGACGGUACCUGCAGAAGAAGCACCGGCCAACUACGUGCCAGCAGCCGCGGUAAUACGUAGGGUGCAAGCGUUGUCCGGAAUUAUUGGGCGUAAAGAGCUCGUAGGCGGUUUGUUGCGUCGGCUGUGAAAACCUGAGGCUCAACCUCAGGCCUGCAGUCGAUACGAGCAGACUAGAGUGUUGCAGGGGAGACUGGAAUUCCUGGUGUAGCGGUGAAAUGCGCAGAUAUCAGGAGGAACACCGGUGGCGAAGGCGGGUCUCUGGGCAACAACUGACGCUGAGG
rnacentral:rRNA from 1 species